rnacentral:rRNA from 1 species
UAGAGUUUGAUCCUGGCUCAAGAUGACCGCUGGCGGCGUGCUUAACACAUGCAAGUCGAACGGGAAAUAUUUUAUUGAAACUUCGGUCGAUUUAAUUUAUUUCUAGUGGCGGACGGGUGAGUAACGCGUGGGUAACCUGCCUUAUACUGGGGGAUAACAGCCAGAAAUGACUGCUAAUACCGCAUAAGCGAACAGAACCGCAUGGUUCCGUGUGAAAAAACUCCGGUGGAAUAAGAAGGACCCGCGUUGGAUUAUCUAGUUUGGCAGGGCAGCGGCCCUACCGAGGCGAACAUCCAUAGCCGGCCUGAGAGGGUGAACGGCCACCAUUGGGGACUGAGACACGGGCCCAGACUCCCUACGGGGAGGCAGCAGUGGGGGAAUAUUGCACAAUGGGGGAAACCCUGAUGCAGCGACGCCGCGUGAAGGAAGAAAGUAUCUCGGUAAUGUAAACUUCUAUCAGCAGGGAAGAUAAUGACGGUACCUGACUAAGAAGCCCCGGCUAACUACGUGCCAGCAGCCGCGGUAAUACGUAGGGGGCAAGCGUUAUCCGGAUUUACUGGGUGUAAAGGGAGCGUAGACGGCGCAGCAAGUCUGAUGUGAAAGGCAGGGGCUUAACCCCUGGACUGCAUUGGAAACUGCUGUGCUUGAGUGCCGGAGGGGUAAGCGGAAUUCCUAGUGUAGCGGUGAAAUGCGUAGAUAUUAGGAGGAACACCAGUGGCGAAGGCGGCUUACUGGACGGUAACUGACGUUGAGGCUCGAAAGCGUGGGGAGCU